rnacentral:rRNA from 1 species
UACGUAGGGUGCAGGCGUUAAUCGGAAUUACUGGGCGUAAAGCGUGCGCAGGCGGCUUCCUAAGACAGUUGUGAAAUCCCCGGGCUCAACCUGGGAACUGCAUCUGUGACUGCAUCGCUGGAGUGCGGCAGAGGGGGAUGGAAUUCCGCGUGUAGCAGUGAAAUGCGUAGAUAUGCGGAGGAACACCGAUGGCGAAGGCAAUCCCCUGGGCCUGCACUGACGCUCAUGCGCGAAAGCGUGGGGAGCAAACAGG